CCUACUCUCCCCAACGCGCCUGCGCCAAGUCACUUCGGGGCGGAAGUAACGGAGCGAAGUUCAGCCCCCUUAAAGGGACAGGGAUCCCCGCAGCCUGAGGGUGCGCUGCUGCUGGAAGAGAGGCGAAGUGACCCAAAAGGACCGGAGGUCGUCCCGUGGAAGCCCGAGUUAACAGUGCAUUCUGAGCUGAGCUGCGGGUGGAUCCACGUCUCCAGGUCAUCAGCCGCCAGCUCUUCAUCUGUGUGGACGGACCCUCCUGGGUCCUCAUAAUUCCCAGGCUAACUGAAGUGAUCCAUACGUUGGUAAAUUGUUCAGCCAUUAAAACGAAAUGUUCCAUG